GGCUGGCCUUUGGCCUCUCUCUGAGGGAAGGGGAGGAGAGGGGUACCCCUUCUUGUCUCUUGGUUCUGUUGCUUUUAUUUACUGCAGAUUUACUGCCACUGGCUGCCUCAUUUCAGUUGUGCAUUCGUGGCUGUGCACACUAAUCACUCUUGACUUUGCCUUUCACUUCACAGUACUCAGACAAGAUGCCAUAGAUUACACUGACUGUUUUGGACCCUAGCAGCAGCAAAUCCUUCAUUCGGGGGCCACCAAGCGCCGGAGUUACACCUCCAAAACUUCAGGACAACCACAUCUGAUUUUGCUUUCAUGUUGAUGCUGAUCUCAGAAGUAUGAUCAGUUCCUGUCCUGGCCUCUGUUUCACCCACAGUUAGAUCACCUUGUCUUGAGGGUAUCAUUUGCAAGGAAGUCACUCUGUAGUGCCUCUCAAAGUGAAUCCAGCCUUGGCUUUCUGCCAGGGUGCUGUGAGUUUUUUUAUCACCACUUUGCAAGCAGUAUCAGGAGAAAUGUAGACUGCAUUUCUGCAGCUGCUGGCUAGUGUGGGGAUGCCUUCAUCUCCUGUCAUGAACUGCUGGAGUGGGGCAGCAGCAAGCUUUGUCCUUCUGACUCAGUGAGAACUGUUUAGGAUGUUGUUGAACAUCGUCGCUUUUGCAGGAAUUUUAGAAGCACUCAGCAAAGCAUUUUUCUUUCCAUAAACUGCUUUAGCUCUAGCUAUGAGCUAUGAAAUCAACUCCAGGAAAGAUGUGCUUCAAGAGUUGUUAUCAAAAUAUCAGCUCAGCAGUGUCCAUGCCAGUAAAGUGAAAUGAGGCAAUGUUUGUAUAGAUAUAUAAUUCCAAUGGUACUACUCAAAGUGGGUGAGCAGACGUAAUAUAAAACUGCCUUACAUUUGGAAGAUGUAAAGAAGACAGAAGCAUACCCUGCCAAGCACCACUUCACAGGUGUGACUACAAGGACAGACUGAGUGGCAUCUUUAAGAAAAACAGAUUUAGCAGGGACGUGCAUGAAGUUCACACACUAAGCUGGAGGACACAGAUUCCCUUAUGUUGGCCCCAGCUUGUCCCACCCAAGUUAUGGUUUGUUCCUUGGAAGAAGUUUCUCUCUCCAUUGCCUGUGUUCCUAAUUGGGUACCUCAAGUUUGGAGACACAAAUCUGUGUCUUUCUGUGCCUAACAACUACCUCUCUUCUAAUCCUUGAUGUACCGUGAGCUUUCUGUAAUGUCCUGCUUCCAGCAAGAUGCUUUUGAUUCUUCUUAGGGAGCAGUAGCCACUUUUAGCUCUUCUGAAUAACUUUCUCCAGUAGUUUUUUUCUUCUUGGCUGGUUUGUGACAGUUUGUGACUCGUGAGCUAUUGCUAUCGAGUUUGUUAUCAAAAGCUCUGUUCUCAUGCUUCUAAUGGUAUUUGUGAUGGAAAAUAGAUGCUUAGCCUUCCUGUUUUGCUGGUAUCCCAAGGCUGAUGAAAUCUGACAGCAGGUGUCUAGAUAUCACCAGAGCAGAGGUCUCCAAUCUUUUCCGUUUUUUUCCCCAUGGCACAGACUACAUUUAUAAGCUCAAGCUUUUGGUGAACUGCUUUUAGGAGCUGAGAUCUCAUUUAUUAACUGGCUCAGAUCCAUUCAAUGAAAAUAAAGGACAUGCUAAGCUCUGCAGAGCAAUGAUAUUCACCUCCAUAACCAACAAAUGAUUAAUUGUGUUUGGAGUGAAAUCAAAGACAAUGUGUAUACAGCUUUUUCCUUACAUAAAAAAUAGUCUCCAGGUACUCCAAGAAAAAGAUGUCGACUUUUGUAAUUUUACCAUGAGUUUCAGAAUAUAAAUAAAAAUAUGUAUGCAUACAUUUUUUCUUAAAGUCCGUGGCACCUAAGAUUGACUGACUGUAUAAGAAAAUAACAUCUUCUAACUUAGCUUAAGGAAAGAAAACAAUCCAACUGUUCUUUAAAGAAACUAAGCUGAAGGGUGAAUAGUAGCUCAAUGUUUAAAAUUGAGGGGCAAAGACUUGUGAAGAUUUUUUCAUGGCAGAAUGAGAAUGGAGCAUCCCACCCAAACUUUAAUCCUGGGAAGAAAUAGUGGAAGUAGUUGCCACUCCUGUAAGGGAGCUGUUGCUUUAGCUCCCAUUUGCCCCACAUGUCCCUUAGGCUGGCAGGAACACCUUGCACUGUGCACCUUGCAGCGGUUCUUUCCUGCUUGCCAAACUGGAAACUACAUCUUCCUCAUGUGCAGGCAUGACAUAAUGAAAAGAAAAUGCUACAGAAGUAUAUUUUUCGUCCUCAAGGAGCUCUUGUGUACAUAGUAGGGGAUUUCCAGCUCUGCCUCUUGGGUCUUUGGGUAUCUUUAGCUUGUUGAGUAAAUUCAGCUCUGCCUGGAUUUGUGGAUAAGAUGGGAAAUGAGGGAGGGUAAUCAUGCAGGAGAAGAGUCGCAGGCUGCAGGAGAAGUAUGACAAGCUAGAUAGCGAGAAAUGUGGUUAAAGACAAGAGUGUGACAUUUUCAGAAACAUGUUCCAAAUCCCCCUGCCCCUCAUUAGCAACCUCUGCUUUCAUCCAGGGCUCUCAGCCGUCCUGCAAAUUUUUGUUUUCCAAAAGCCAGUAUAAGAGUUAAAAUUCCUCUGUAGGUUGUGGAAUAUGAAGAUGCCAAAUAUUUUUCCAGUGAAAUUUUAAGAUAAAAUACUUGCAUGUGUGUUGGUGCAGACACCAGACUCUUGCCUCCUUCCAUAUCCAGAUUGUGUUCAAGUAAGCAUUCAAGGAGACUGGUCUGUGUCCUUCUCUCCAUACUCUAUCCCUCUAAAAUUCCAGAGACACAGCAUGAUUUGAAUUUCUUUCAAACUCUCUGAACACAAACUUGUGCUUACUACUUUAAAAAUAUUGGUAAAUUUAUUGCUGGCAUUUGCAACAACC